rnacentral:rRNA from 1 species
UACGUAGGGACCAAGCGUUGUUCGGAUUUACUGGGCGUAAAGGGCGCGUAGGCGGCGUGGUAAGUCACUUGUGAAAUCUCCGAGCUUAACUCGGAACGGUCAAGUGAUACUGCUGUGCUAGAGUGCAGAAGGGGCAAUCGGAAUUCUUGGUGUAGCGGUGAAAUGCGUAGAUAUCAAGAGGAACACCUGAGGUGAAGACGGGUUGCUGGGCUGACACUGACGCUGAGACACGAAAGCCAGGGGAGCAAACGGG